GACGAACGCUGGCGGCGUGCUUAACACAUGCAAGUCGAACGGAAAGGCCCCCUUGUGGGGUACUCGAGUGGCGAACGGGUGAGUAACACGUGAGUAACCUACCCUUGACUUUGGGAUAACUUCAGGAAACUGGGGCUAAUACCGGAUAGGAGCUCCUGCUGCAUGGUGGGGGUUGGAAAGUUUCGGCGGUUGGGGAUGGACUCGCGGCUUAUCAGCUUGUUGGUGGGGUAGUGGCUCACCAAGGCUUUGACGGGUAGCCGGCCUGUGAGGGUGACCGGCCACAUUGGGACUGAGAUACGGCCCAGACUCCUACGGGAGGCAGCAGUGGGGAAUAUUGCACAAUGGGCGGAAGCCUGAUGCAGCAACGCCGCGUGCGGGAUGACGGCCUUCGGGUUGUAAACCGCUUUCGCCUGUGACGAAGCGUGAGUGACGGUAAUGGGUAAAGAAGCACCGGCUAACUACGUG
rnacentral:rRNA from 1 species